rnacentral:rRNA from 1 species
ACACGACUACAUUAGAUACCCCGGUAGUCCUAGCCGUAAACGAUACUCGCUAGGUGUCGGCCACGGUGCGACCGUUGUCGGUGCCGUAGGGAAGCCGUGAAGCGAGCCACCUGGGAAGUACGGCCGCAAGGCUGAAACUUAAAGGAAUUGGCGGGGGAGCACAGCAACGGGUGGAGCUUGCGGUUUAAUUGGAUUCAACGCCGGAAAUCUUACCGGGACCGACAGCAACAUGAAGGCCAAGCUGAAGACUUUGCCGGAUUAGCUG